CCCCACACCCCUGCGGAGCUCUGUGAGGCUUGACGAGACGCCGCGUUUAGGAGUGAAGAGCGACCCCGGCCGGGAAUCCAGGGUGUGCGCGAUGUCGGCUCAAGCAAAAAAUUCACAUAUAUCCUGGCUCUUCCUUUAUCUCUUUGGAGCAAUUCCCCAAUUUGGAGUUACCUGAGAAGCUGUCUCCUGGGCUAUGGUCCACGGCUGAUGUUAAUAUUGUCACAGAAUCCUCCCAUGUUGGCAUCCAUUUGAGAAAAAAGAGUUCAGGAUUCAGGAGGCCUGGAUCCUACUACCAGCUCUGCCUGUAACCCAGUGGUGCCUGAUGAGGGAUCUCGUCUUCCUGAGCUCCUCCUAAAA